GAGGGUAUAGCUCAGUGGUAGAGUGUGUGCUUAGAAUGCACAAGGUCCUAGGUUCAAUCCCCAGUACCUCCA
rnacentral:tRNA from 1 species